CUAACUCCGUGCCAGCAGCCGCGGUAAUACGGGGGAUGCGAGCGUUAUCCGGAUUCAUUGGGUUUAAAGGGUGCGUAGGCUGUGCGUCAAGUCGGGGGUGAAAUUCCGGUGCUCAACACCGGGGCUGCCCUUGAUACUGUCGCGCUGGAGUGCGGAUGCCGCCGGAGGAAUGAGUGGUGUAGCGGUGAAAUGCUUAGAUAUCACUCAGAACACCGAUUGCGAAGGCAUCUGGCGAAUCCGUAACUGACGCUGAGGCACGAAAGCGUGGGGAUAGAACAGGAUUAGAUACCCUGGUAUUCCACGCCGUAAACGAUGAUGGCUAACCGCCGGCGACACACUGUCGGUGGCCAAGCGAAAGCGAUAAGCCAUCCACCUGGGGAGUACGUCGGCAACGAUGAAACUCAAAGGAAUUGACGGGGGCCCGCACAAGCGGAGGAACAUGUGGUUUAAUUCGAUGAUACGCGAGGAACCUUACCCGGGCUCGAACGGCACCUGGAUCGCCCAGAGACGGGCGAGUCUUCGGACAGGUGUCGAGGUGCUGCAUGGUUGUCGUCAGCUCGUGCCGUGAGGUGUCGGCUCAAGUGCCAUAACGAGCGCAACCCUUGCCGCCAGUUGCCAUCAGGUGAUGCUGGGCACUCUGGCGGGACUGCCACCGCAAGGUGUGAGGAGGGGGGGGAUGACGUCAAAUCAGCACGGCCCUUACGUCCGGGGCGACACACGUGUUACAAUGGCGGCCACAGAGGGAAGCUACCCCGCGAGGGGAUGCGGAUCUCGAAAAGCCGUCCCAGUUCGGACUGGAGUCUGCAACCCGACUCCACGAAGUUGGAUUCGCUAGUAAUCGCGCAUCAGCCAUGGCGCGGUGAAUACGUUCCCGGGCCUUGUACACACCGCCCGUCAAGCCAUGGAAGCCGCGGGCGCCUGAAGUCCGUGACCGGAAGGAGCGGCCUAGGGCGAAAGUGGUAACUGGGGCUAAGUCGUAACAAGGUAGCCGUACCGGAAGGUGUGGCUG
rnacentral:rRNA from 1 species